rnacentral:rRNA from 1 species
UACGUAGGCAGCGAGCGUUUGUUCGGAGUUACUGGGCGUAAAGGGUGUGUAGGCGGUUGUUUUAAGUUUGGUGUGAAAUCUCCCGGCUCAACUGGGAGGGUGCGCCGAAUACUGAAUGACUUGGAGUGCGGGAGAGGAAAGUGGAAUUCCUGGUGUAGCGGUGAAAUGCGUAGAUAUCCGGAGGAAGACCGGUGGCGAAGGCGGCCUGCUGGGCAGUUUCUGACACUGAUGCGCGACAGCGUGGGGAGCAAACAGG